GGGGUCAUCCCGACUUACCAACCCGAUGCAAACUGCGAAUACCGGAGAAUGUUAUCACGGGAGACACACGGCGGGUGCUAACGUCCGUCGUGAAGAGGGAAACAACCCAGACCGCCAGCUAAGGUCCCAAAGUCAUGGUUAAGUGGGAAACGAUGUGGGAAGGCCCAGACAGCCAGGAUGUUGGCUUAGAAGCAGCCAUCAUUUAAAGAAAGCGUAAUAGCUCACUGGUCGAGUCGGCCUGCGCGGAAGAUGUAACGGGGCUAAACCAUGCACCGAAGCUGCGGCAGCGACACUGUGUGUUGUUGGGUAGGGGAGCGUUCUGUAAGCCUGCGAAGGUGUGCUGUGAGGCAUGCUGGAGGUAUCAGAAGUGCGAAUGCUGACAUAAGUAACGAUAAAGCGGGUGAAAAGCCCGCUCGCCGGAAGACCAAGGGUUCCUGUCCAACGUUAAUCGGGGCAGGGUGAGUCGACCCCUAAGGCGAGGCCGAAAGGCGUAGUCGAUGGGAAACAGGUUAAUAUUCCUGUACUUGGUGUUACUGCGAAGGGGGGACGGAGAAGGCUAUGUUGGCCGGGCGACGGUUGUCCCGGUUUAAGCGUGUAGGCUGGUUUUCCAGGCAAAUCCGGAAAAUCAAGGCUGAGGCGUGAUGACGAGGCACUACGGUGCUGAAGCAACAAAUGCCCUGCUUCCAGGAAAAGCCUCUAAGCAUCAGGUAACAUCAAAUCGUACCCCAAACCGACACAGGUGGUCAGGUAGAGAAUACCAAGGCGCUUGAGAGAACUCGGGUGAAGGAACUAGGCAAAAUGGUGCCGUAACUUCGGGAGAAGGCACGCUGAUAUGUAGGUGAAGUCCCUCGCGGAUGGAGCUGAAAUCAGUCGAAGAUACCAGCUGGCUGCAACUGUUUAUUAAAAACACAGCACUGUGCAAACACGAAAGUGGACGUAUACGGUGUGACGCCUGCCCGGUGCCGGAAGGUUAAUUGAUGGGGUCAGCGCAAGCGAAGCUCUUGAUCGAAGCCCCGGUAAACGGCGGCCGUAACUAUAACGGUCCUAAGGUAGCGAAAUUCCUUGUCGGGUAAGUUCCGACCUGCACGAAUGGCGUAAUGAUGGCCAGGCUGUCUCCACCCGAGACUCAGUGAAAUUGAACUCGCUGUGAAGAUGCAGUGUACCCGCGGCAAGACGGAAAGACCCCGUGAACCUUUACUAUAGCUUGACACUGAACAUUGAGCCUUGAUGUGUAGGAUAGGUGGGAGGCUUUGAAGUGUGGACGCCAGUCUGCAUGGAGCCGGCCUUGAAAUACCACCCUUUAAUGUUUGAUGUUCUAACGUUGACCCGUGAUCCGGGUUGCGGACAGUGUCUGGUGGGUAGUUUGACUGGGGCGGUCUCCUCCUAAAGAGUAACGGAGGAGCACGAAGGUUGGCUAAUCCUGGUCGGACAUCAGGAGGUUAGUGCAAUGGCAUAAGCCAGCUUGACUGCGAGCGUGACGGCGCGAGCAGGUGCGAAAGCAGGUCAUAGUGAUCCGGUGGUUCUGAAUGGAAGGGCCAUCGCUCAACGGAUAAAAGGUACUCCGGGGAUAACAGGCUGAUACCGCCCAAGAGUUCAUAUCGACGGCGGUGUUUGGCACCUCGAUGUCGGCUCAUCACAUCCUGGGGCUGAAGUAGGUCCCAAGGGUAUGGCUGUUCGCCAUUUAAAGUGGUACGCGAGCUGGGUUUAGAACGUCGUGAGACAGUUCGGUCCCUAUCUGCCGUGGGCGCUGGAGAACUGAGGGGGGCUGCUCCUAGUACGAGAGGACCGGAGUGGACGCAUCACUGGUGUUCGGGUUGUCAUGCCAAUGGCACUGCCCGGUAGCUAAAUGCGGAAGAGAUAAGUGCUGAAAGCAUCUAAGCACGAAACUUGCCCCGAGAUGAGUUCUCCCUGACUCCUUGAGAGUCCUGAAGGAACGUUGAAGACGACGACGUUGAUAGGCCGGGUGUGUAAGCGCAGCGAUGCGUUGAGCUAACCGGUACUAAUGAACCGUGAGGCUUAACCUU
rnacentral:rRNA from 1 species